GUUGGGAUGGUCUAGUGGUUAUGACGUCUGCCUUACACGUCGAAGAUCGCGAGUUCAAUCCUCGCUCCUGGUA
rnacentral:tRNA from 1 species